UUAAUAUUACUGCUGCAUACAGUAGAACCAGAGGAAGACAGAUUUUAUUUAAGAGAUUACAGCUUAAUUUAAUUUGGUACUAUGCUUAAAUUCUAAAUGUCCUGCAUGAUGACAACAUUUACAGUUGAUGUUCUAAGAAUAUAUUGAUGCUGAUAGUAAUUUAAGUUAGAUUUGGAAUAGAUAUUAUUAUUAAAGCCCUGUUGUAUACACUACCAGUCAACAGUUUAGGCACACUUUCUCAUUUAAUGUUUUUUUUUUAAAUGUAAUUAUUUUCUACAUUGUAGAUUAAUACUGAAGAGAUCAAAGCUAUCAAAGAUUACAUAUGGAAUUAUGUUGUCAACAAAAAAAGUGAAUCUUCAGUAUCAAUCUACAAUGUACAAAAUAACACAAAUGAAGCAAUAAGAAGGCGUUUCCAUAUUUUUGACUAGUGUUCUUAUAGGGCAUAACGUAUUUUUCUGAUUGAGCAUGAAAAUAAUGUCGAAUUAUUCAGUUGUAGAAAGGCACUCAGUACUUUUAGUUAAGCAAUAUAUGGAGGCAUUGUUUUAUUUAAUGACUACAUUUCAGUUACUUCUUUUCCCACACAAAAUUAAGUAGAUGAUUUGUCACAAAUUAUAUGAAACUAUCAAAAUUUGGUCGUCUCUUGAGAUCAGUAGUUUAUCUUUAAGUUAAUGAUUUGAACUUUGAGCUCCAGACUUUGUUAAUUAUUUGUCAUGACAGAAGCACAAACACUAAUUAUCUACGUCAGAGACAUCUAUCAGCCAGGAGUGAAUGAAGGAUGCUGAUUUUGUACGUAAAUCCCAACUUUAUUGCUAUUUGUAAGUGCAAACCUCUCAUUUUACGCACUGUAAUUCUCCGUGUUUGGUUUCAGCUCGGAGUUCUGCUUGUGAAAUCAGAUGGAAACUGUUCUCCACUGGUUUCGUAUUGACAUGUGUUUGGUGCCCCGGUGAGCGCUGGCGCCAGCUACCCAAGAACGGCACAGCCGCUUCAAACAUCAGAGAUCAAAGAUGUUACAGUAGCAACACAAUUACGGCUGAUUGUCGGCCCGUUCACAUGCAAAUUUGCCAAAACAAGCCGUGAGGAAGAAGAGGCCUGUGGGCCCAAACAAACCCACAGAAAAGACUUUGUAUGGACGGUUUUCACUGGGCAAAGUCUGCUAUUAAGUUAGGUUAUGAACAGAACGGAUCAGAGGGACACUUCUCCUUAGAGUAGGCUUUAAUGUGUCAGGAUGUGGAAGUUGAGGAGUAACACCAUAUAUAUUAGACGCCAAAUUAACCCGAGCUGGCUCCAGCAGACAGAGCUGAACCUGUGGGAUCAGCCCUCCACUGUGAGGUCUCCGCAUGCAGCAGCUCCGAGACAAUGUCACUAAACUGAUGGUUUAGUUAUGCUACACAGCAGAUAAGAGGUUGGCCAUAGUUGUCUCCUUUAUCGGUGAUCUGUCGCUGUGGAGGCAGGAGUCCAUUCAGCUCUUUAUCUGCUUUGAAGAUGCGCCCUGAUCCUGUUAGAUAACAAUGAAAAACGCCCAGGACGCCGCCUUCACACUGAGUCUAUUUCCUCAGUCAGCAGGAAGAGUCACUCUUCUCUUUUUAGCUUUUAUAAACGUGAGCAGCAGAACGAGGAAAACAGCUCAUUCAGUGGUAUUAUUACGGAGCUGUCCAGAAGUUGACCAACAAUCCAGCAUAUUUACAUUUAACGCACUGGAAAUAAAGGCGAUAUUUAUAGGACUCUCUAGUGGUAAUGUGGGAGCUUCACUCAUACUCAUAUUUAUAGUCUUGGAGAUCCUGGGUCAUUAGUGGAAGAACUUUAAAGCUAUUUUAAAAGCAACAAUAGCACACAUGUGGGCCAAUUAGAGCAUGUCCAAAAUACUAAAACAUGCAGUUUUUGUGUAAAUGAGACCAAAUCUAAAAAAAAUAAUAAAUAAAUAGGAGAAAGAAUGUUUGAAAAUAUUUUUAAAAAUACACAACCUGGAGUUCCCUCUAAAAUGCAUUUUUUCUCUUGUCUCUCUUAUCUUAUUCUCUUGUAAUUGUGUGUGUGUGGGGGGGGGGGGGAUUUUUUAAUCAACAUAAUGUUUUAAAUAAUUGUUAUGCAUAGAAUGUGUGUCCAACCCUGUUGGCCUGUGGUAGCUAAUCGGGAGGACCGUCCGGGACAAUUCCCGGUGGGCCGGUCUGAUGUUUGGGCCGUGAGAGCCGGUGUUAGCUUUUUUUGGGCUGGUGUUCAGUCAUGGCACUGGGUUGAUCAUUACGGUGCUGCCGCUGUUCCUGGGCCGCCUCCACUGGCAGCUCUUUUUUUCUUUUUUUUUUUUUUUUGCAGACGCACCGUGACGUAACACGCUGGUGCACGUGGUCAGAGGUGUUUGAAAGAUGGAAAACAGGAAGAGCAAGGGUGGUGUGGAGAAGAUGUUCAGAGGGAGAUGAUGCCACAUCUGGUCCAGCCGAUGGAAGGUCUUGAAGUUCUCUGACUGAAGAUGGUCCUCUGACUGGAUUUAAGGUUCAGAUGCUCAGGAACAAACUCCACCAAUGAGCCAACAGGGAAGCUUUAGGUUUAUUAAAUGUUGCUAUGAAGAUGCACAAUGAGGGAUGUCUGCAGCGACUGAGGAAGAGUCUCACCACAUCCUGACAUGAGGAAAAAGAUUUUAUUGAAGACUACUAUGAGAAAAACUAUCAGACAGCAGACGGCAUGCAUUCAAGAUGAGAUCUGAACAUCUGAUCUGGAACAGGAAUCAGUAAAAGCAGCAUGAGCUUCAUUUCAGUCUGUAGCUGCUGAAUUCAUGGAUGAAUCAUCUGCCACUAGACAGGAAGACCAUCAAAGAUCCACAUCAGCUGAUGGAGGUCCAAGAGUCUCACCAAACAAUCAACCUACAGAGUGAAGACCUCUAACCUGAUUGGAUGGCCUCCUAUUCAGUCACAUGUGUGAACAAAUGCCUCUGAGUUGAUUUGUUUUCCAAAAUAAAUCUACUUUGAGUAGUAA